GUCAAAAAAGAGUAGAAGGAA
ensembl:piRNA 21ur-13683 ncRNA